UGCCCCGCAAAUCCUAUCCCUACCUCCUCGUGGUACUGGCCGGGUGCGAGCAACCUUUGGGAAGAUCGGGUAAGCAACCCCGGUGGGAACUCUGGUCGUAUGCUGACAGGGAAUG
rnacentral:ribozyme from 1 species